GUUAUCCAGAGACGAUCCGAUGGAUCUGAAAACUUCGACCGAUUGUGGAAAGAUUAUGAGAAUGGAUUUGGUAAAAAAACUGGAGAAUACUGGUUGGGGAAUAAAAACAUACACAGCCUUACAUCAAGCGGGAAAUAUGAACUGAGAAUCGAUCUGACGGACAUGUCCAAUAACAAAAAGUUUGCUGUAUAUAAGACGUUUGUAGUAGGCGAUGCAGCGUCCAAGUAUAAAUUGACCGUUGGUGAUUACAGUGGCAAUGCAGGGAAUAAUAUGGUCAACCAUAACGGAAAGGUGUUUUCAACAAAAGACAAGAAUAGUGAUCGAAGUGGAAAAAAUGUCUAAAUAAUUGUGGACCAUGGUGGCUUACAGUAUGUUGCAAUGGUGCUCUUAACGGGAGCUUCGGCAAGGGACUACACUGGGCUCAUUUCAGGAAACACAAGGCCAAGACCUCAGUUAUGAUGAUUAGGAAACUAUAGUUUGACUCCAAUAAAUAAAAACAC